GAAACUUGUGUUGGGGAGGAUUCAGUGUCUGUUGAGGUCCAUGUGAAUGUGCUACAAAGUGAGUAUCAGAAAACACAUCCAGACACCUGGACUGUCAAAGACCACACGGCACGAACAUUCUCCUGGAGACGCUGAGAAAGCACGGAAGGAAUGUCUGUGGAGGAUGUACUCAAACACACCCAUACUUAAGGACACCUGCUGGAGAGGAGGGUUCAGUGUGGUGACAGAAGAUGGAAUAGACGUGUGCCAGUGCACCAGCCUUGAUGAAGCCUUCAUAACAGCCUUCUGGAUGUAUUUUGUUUUCAACAUUACAUAUCCAACAUACCUGAGAAAGACACUGACUUUCCUUCAGAGGCACACUGUCAACAUUAGAAGAUGGAGACAAGCACUGCCAGUAACUUUACUCUGAAUGAUUAGCCUUGUGUUUUAGAUCCUCAUGCCUCAACUCUACCAUUGGCCAAAGUGCACUCGAAGGACAUUCACUCUUUUGAAGUUAAUCCAACAUGUUGGAGUUGUACAUGCACAUGAACCAAAUUUUAGUAUAACCUGUGGUAUAGAUGAGUGCCAGUCAACUUUUUUGUGAUUCCAUUCUUUUAGAAAACAUGCACAGGAAUCAUAUGUACUUUUGGUAACAAAAAUGACAGUCUCAGUGAAGAGUCUGCAGUACAAUUAUAUUAUAAUAUAAUGGAGAAGGGUCUGGCUGCAGACUUGCACUCUCAGACACUUGCGCUUCUGCUAGUGACAACACUUGCAGUCUUUUUUAAUUUGUAUUUAGUUAUACUUAUUGGUUACUUUUUGUUUGAAUCUCUCAACAUCUGUUUUUUCUCUUGUGUAGGUAUCAUUGACUGGAAGUCUGUCAGUCCAGAUGUGAGGAAGACCUACAGAGUGAGUUUGAGCUCAGCAGGUGUGAUAGCUGUGGAUACAUCUACAGAAACACCACUGGAUACUGUAGCCAUGGAAAGAAGGGGGUCUUCACAGCUUUCUAUUCAGACAAAGAGUUUGCUGGAUUCUGUUCUAUGGACUGCUACUACAGAAUGAAUGAAUGAAUGAGUGGUUUAUCUAUCUAUCUAUCUAUCUAUCUAUCUAUCUAUCUAUCUAUCUAUCUAUCUAUCUAUCUAUCUAUCUAUCUAUAUAUUUAAUUUUUUUUACUUGAAUUGGCGGCUGAAACUGAAAGCUAAAUAAAUGUUUUAGUUGAUAAAGCUGUGUCUGUUUGCUUAUGUCACUUAACAUAAGGUUACUAAACUCUUCUGACCAAUUUUUAAAUUUUAUAAUUUAGUGGUUUUGUCAACUAUGUAUUUUUCUCUAUCAGGCAAAACAUUUUUUGAGGGUAACACUUUACAAUAAGGUUUCAUUUGCUGACACUGAUGUAUUAACUAACAUUAACUAUGAGCAAUACAUUUGAUACAGUGUUUAUUAAACUUUGUUAGUUAAUAAAAAUACAGCUGUUCGUUGUUUGUUCUUGUUAGUUCACUUCACAGUGCUUUAACUAAUGUUAACAAAUACAACUUUUGACUUUAACUUAAGAACAGCUAGUGCGACUAACCGUGUUAAGAGACGUUUGUAUUCUCGAAAAAUAAUUGUAAUUUGUUUUUGAUUAUUGAUAAAUCAAGACCUAAACUUCCGGCGAUGACGUCAGUAACCCGCGCCAUGCAGAAGUUUUGAAGGUACUUUCAAAAGUAAUUUAAAAUAAUAUUCUUAAUCUCAUUAACGCCGUUUUUACCUUGGAAGAAUUACAUUUGGAUUAUGUUGAAUAUAUGGUUUCCUUUUAAUCUGCGAUUAAGAGUAUAUGCCUCGCCACCUUUUUUUUUUUUUUUUACAGCCAUCUUUCGCAUUACCUUUUGGCACGCCCCCUACCUUUCGUUUCACCAAUGAAAACCCUUUUGGCACGCCCCACACCUUUCGGCACGCCCCCACCUUUUGGCACGCCCAUUUCUCCAGGCUGCAGUUACCCCUACUUGGUCGGCGCUGUACUCUUGCUUGAACUAUUUUUGUUCUUGGUGGAAGCUUUGCAUAGGAUAAUACAUGUGUGCUGUAGUUGACGAUCACCUGCAAUAAUUUGAGUUAAAGUCAUGUUACUUUACUAUUACACAUUAAGUGUUUGCAGUUUUAUAUUAAGAAAUAUUCCUUCUCAGUGGACUCAAAUGAAAUAAGUUAACCAAAUG
ensembl:lncRNA